GUUGAACAGGCACUAUGCAAGGAUCUAGAGAUUUCAGACCUACCAUUUAUUAGCUCAAACAUCAAAAGACAUGAAUGCUUUAAAAGUAUCAACAUCAGCUUUUCUCUACCAGCAUGGUGGGAGUUUCUAAAAAUAACGGAGUCUUCAUUAAUCCCAUGCAAACGUACACCUAUCUGGAAUAACCCUGACAUAUUACAAAACAAUAAUAUGAUUAAUUUCCCAGAAUGGAGUUGUAAAGGAAUUAAAUACUUAGAACAUAUAUUAGAGGGAACAGAAUUUAUUCCAUUUGACAGACUAGUUGAACAAUAUGGGAUCAACAAGACAAGGUUUUUAGAAUAUCAACAAAUUAAAUCCAUAGUAAAAAAGAAAUUUAACCUCAGUCAAGUUGAAUUACAAACACCACUAAGUGCGGCACAUUUUCUUACUCUUAAAUCCCCCAAAUUAUUAUCUAAAAUAUACAGAACACUUUCUAAAUUAGAUGAAUCAAUAUCCCUUCCUACUGCAAAGUGGGAAGCAGAUUUAUCAGUCAGCUUAGACCAAAACUUCUGGUCUCAGAUUUGCUUAAAAACUUUUAAAUUAAUUAAAAAUCCCAGUCUGCAAUUAAUACAAUACAAAAUACUUCAUAGAGUGCACUAUACAGGUCAUCGGAUGUUUAAGAUGGGCUUUACAUCUUCCAACAACUGCUCACACUGUCAAGGCAAUACACCAGACAAUUACAUCCACGCUCUUUGGUUCUGUCCACCAGUGCAAAAGUUUUGGCGCGAGAUAUGUGAAGACUUAUCAAAAUGUCUGAAAUGUAACAUUCCAACUUCCCCCUUAGUGUGUUUGUUGGGCAGCUUAGAUAAUGUCACUUCAGAAAAGAAUAUAGCCCAUAUGAUCUUCACUGCCCUAUGCAUAGCCAAGAAAACAGUCCUCAUGAACUGGAAAAAUAAAAAUAAUCUUAAUUCUAACCAAUAUAGAAAUUAUCUAUUAGAUUACAUUAGUCUUGACACAGCCUCUGCCACCACAUCAGAUCAAUUGCUCUGGGCCCCUUUUAUCAGCUCCAUCACCUAGUGGGGGUGGGGGGUCAUAGUUUGGUCCCGCC
ensembl:lncRNA